rnacentral:lncRNA from 1 species
AUGGGGAACUUGGGUCAGGGCUGGGGGGUGGUGGUAAUUUUGUAUUUAGCUAUGUGCCAAAGACCCUUCUCCCACCUGAUUUUAUGUUAUAUUAAAAGUACUUUGUGGCAGAAUCCUUUCUUGACACUCCUUUUCUUGACAGUGCCAAUGCCUGAGGUCUGCAGCUGGCUGCCCACUUGGCUGCUGGCAUCCUCGGCAGAGGGCAGCCACCUCCCAUCACUGUGGAGGGACUGGGAAGAGGACGGGCCUAGACUGAGCCAACAGGGAGCAGAAAACAGAAGGAACCAGUCCCCAGGAACAGAAACACUGCCAAAUACAGUCCUUCCUGUAGAAGCCAAGAUCAAGCCCACGUUUGAGCCUAGCAGAAUAGCAGGUGGAAGGAAGGCUUCCCUGGCCGUCAAGUGUUGGGCAAGUCAGGGCCCAUCUCGUGUCUUCAUCGCAAGAAAGAAGUUUCACUGGUUCAGAACCAAACUUAAGCAGCAGGUGUUCAGAGCUGGGGUGUAGAAGUUUCAGCUUUGAUUUUUCUAUGAAAUCGUUCAGGUUAUUAAAAUGUCGGCCCUAUUCUCUUGUUUAAGAACUGGUUUCAUUUCUAAUGACACAGCACCAUCAUGCCAUUCCUUGAUUUAGUCACGAGAACCAAAACUAAUAUGUGGCUAGUUUCAAGUCGUUUUUAUAGCAGUUAGUACAGAGAACAACAGGCUCUUGUAAAAACAGAUGUAUUUGCUAUCUGCUUCUCUAUCUGCUGCCUCUCAGACUCAAAACCUGAUUUCUAAGAUGGCGUGGUCCUCUGGUUGGGCCUCAUGGGAGAGGCUCUUGCCCAGGACAAAAGCCUGGCUGUUCUCCUCAGUGUGAAAAUUUUCGUAAGAAACAGGAGUCCCAUCCCCUAUUGAUCCUAUGUAUAAAAUAGAUAACUAAUGAGACCUAACUCAGGAAACCCUACUCAGGGCUCUGUGGUGACCUAAAUGGGAACGAAAUCCAAAAAAGAGGGGAUGUAUGUGUACAUAUUGCUGAUUCACUUUUGCUGUACAGUAAAAACACAUCACAUUGUAAAGCAACCACACUCCAAUAAAAAUUAAUUUAAAAAAAAAAGAGUCA